AUUGAACGCUGGCGGCAGGCCGAACACAUGCAAGUCGAGCGGAUGAAGGGAGCUUGCUCCUGGAUUCAGCGGCGGACGGGUGAGUAAUGCCUAGGAAUCUGCCUGGUAGUGGGGGAUAACGUCCGGAAACGGGCGCUAAUACCGCAUACGUCCUGAGGGAGAAAGUGGGGGAUCUUCGGACCUCACGCUAUCAGAUGAGCCUAGGUCGGAUUAGCUAGUUGGUGGGGUAAAGGCCUACCAAGGCGACGAUCCGUAACUGGUCUGAGAGGAUGAUCAGUCACACUGGAACUGAGACACGGUCCAGACUCCUACGGGAGGCAGCAGUGGGGAAUAUUGGACAAUGGGCGAAAGCCUGAUCCAGCCAUGCCGCGUGUGUGAAGAAGGUCUUCGGAUUGUAAAGCACUUUAAGUUGGGAGGAAGGGCAGUAAGUUAAUACCUUGCUGUUUUGACGUUACCAACAGAAUAAGCACCGGCUCACUUCGUG
rnacentral:rRNA from 1 species